rnacentral:sRNA from 1 species
GUUAAUGGCAUUAGAUCGUAAAUAAGUCCAAGUCCAGGAUUUAUUUGCUAAAAUGGCUGCAAAAAUGUAUAUAUAGAUGGUAGAUGGUGUAAUUAUUCCGUUGAUUAUAAGAGUUGU